AGGCUUUGCACUUGUGCAAAUCUCCAGUGUGGAUUUUUCAAGCGACUCGUGCACAAAUGUGUCUGUGUGUUGUGUAUGUGUGUGUGUGUGUAUGCGGGUGUGUGUCUGUGUGUGUGAAUUUGUUUUCCGUCUGCGACAACGUCAAAGCGACGACAAAAGCGGCGUGUACCGCAUUUCGUGAUCUUUUGCCGUUGACGUUGUGUUUUUAUCUACGACAAAAAAAAAAGUAUUUAUUUAUUAUUAUUAUUUUUUUACUUGUGUCGCUUUUGUUAAGAUUUCUGUGGGAGAGAGAGACGAUGAGACGCUUGUGUUUGCCGCAAAUACAUAAUUGUAUGCAUGUGGCCAGAUAUACAUUCAUAUAUACACACUUAUACAUAUAUAUAUGAAUAAAUAAAAUAAAUACAAUUAUUAAUUGUUGGAUGGAAACAGAUGCUGCUGCUUUUUGACGCUUGGCAACACAAAGCCUAAGCUUCGCUUCGAAGCGAUUUCUGUUCAUUGGGCACUCACACAAAUAAAACUGGGCAGCAAAGACGACGACGAAGGGGCGGCGACAACGCGAGGGGGUGCGGAGUGUGGGGUGUCUCAGAUUUUCGCAGCGCGCACACGACUAAUACUAAACACUAAACACUAACAACAACAACAGGAACGGAGCCAGUGGGCAACCAGCUUCAAGUAACGCUCGAUAACAACUGACUAACUGAGCGAACUCCAGCGAGCAGUUCCAAACCACGAUCAUCGUCAAAGCUCGCGACGACACACGAAGCAGCGCUCUCUCGUAUUCGUGCUUUGUGCUCCCACGCUGCGUUCUGAAAAAAAAGGAAAAGAGAGGAGGAGAACGCAGAGAGCACGCAUUCAGUCGAAGAAUGGGCUGCCUUAUGCAGAGAUGCAUGCAUGCUUACAUACGUGUGUGUGCGUUUGUGAAAUGUUAAUUCAAGUCAUAUUUGCCUGCAACUGAUACACAUACAAACAAACCCAUUGUUGUUGAUUUUUCAUGUAAUCAAAUAGAGAAGAGAAGAAAGCAUUUAUCGCUAUUAGAUGCUGAUAACAUUUCUUGCACGCACUUCAAGCAGCAGGUGGUUGUGGAGGAGAAGGGAGGAGUGUGCUUGUCAUCAUCGUUAUGGUCUGUGCUAAUUAGCAUACAAGACAAAUGUACAUAUAACGUAUCUAUGUGCAAAUGCAACUGUUAUACUAUUUACACAUUCUUAUUGCUGUACAACGUCAGUGGGAAAUCACCACGUGUAAGCAUACCAGCAGCGAACUAAUGAAUGACAACUCCCAUUACUGAGUGCAUUCUGUGUGCACACAAUGUAAUGCAUUACCCAUUAAUACUCUUUGUGUAGUGAAAUAUAAAACAUAUUUUUAUGUA